GUGGGGAAUAUUGCGCAAUGGGCGAAAGCCUGACGCAGCGACGCCGCGUGAGGGAUGAAGGCCUUCGGGUUGUAAACCUCUUUCAGCUCCGACGAAGCGAAAGUGACGGUAGGAGCAGAAGAAGCACCGGCCAACUACGUGCCAGCAGCCGCGGUAAUACGUAGGGUGCAAGCGUUGUCCGGAAUUAUUGGGCGUAAAGAGCUCGUAGGCGGUUUGUCGCGUCGGCUGUGAAAACUCGAGGCUCAACCUCGGGCCUGCAGCCGAUACGGGCAAACUAGAGUUUGGUAGGGGAGACUGGAAUUCCUGGUGUAGCGGUGGAAUGCGCAGAUAUCAGGAGGAACACCGGUGGCGAAGGCGGGUCUCUGGGCCAAAACUGACGCUGAGGAGCGAAAGCGUGGGGAGCGAACAGG
rnacentral:rRNA from 1 species